rnacentral:rRNA from 1 species
UAGUCGGAGGUGUGUCUCGGACGGUCGGUUCGCCGCUUGCCGGUGCUCAACUGGCCGGUCCGGACGUCCUGCCGGUGGGGCCGCGAGGCCCCGUUAUCCUUCUUUGGUCCUCUUCACCGAGUGCCUUGGUGGGCCGGCACGUUUACUUUGAACAAAUUAGAGUGCUCAAAGCAGGCCGUUGGUCGCCUGAAUACUGUGUGCAUGGAAUAAUGGAAUAGGACCUCGGUUCCAUUUUGUUGGUUUUCAGAACUCGAGGUAAUGAUUAAUAGGGACGGACGGGGGCAUUCGUAUUGCGACGUUAGAGGUGAAAUUCUUGGAUCGUCGCAAGACGAACCGAUGCGAAAGCAUUUGCCAAGAACGUUUUCGUUGAUCAAGAACGAAAGUUAGAGGUUCGAAGGCGAUCAGAUACCGCCCUAGUUCUAACCAUAAACGAUGCCAGCUAGCCAUCCGCCGAAGUUCCUUCUAUGACUCGGCGGGCAGCUUCCGGGAAACCAAAGCUCUUGGGUUCCGGGGGAAGUAU